AGCAGCCGCGGUAAUUCCAGCUCCAAUAGCGUAUAUUAAAGUUGUUGCAGUUAAAAAGCUCGUAGUUGAAUUUCGGGAUUAGUACGCUGGUCGUGCCUUCGGUACGUACUGGUGUUACUGAUUCCUACCUUCUGACGAACCGUCAUGUCAUUAAUUUGAUGUGGCGGGGAAUCAGGACUGUUACUUUGAAAAAAUUAGAGUGUUUAAAGCAGGCUCGCGCUUGAGUACAUUAGCAUGGAAUAAUGAAAUAGGACGUUCGAUCCUAUUUUGUUGGUUUCUAGGAUUGACGUAAUGAUUAAUAGGGAUAGUUGGGGGCAUUAGUAUUCAAUUGUCAGAGGUGAAAUUCUUGGAUUUAUUGAGGACUAACUACUGCGAAAGCAUUUGCCAAGGAUGUUUUCAUUAAUCAAGAACGAAAGUUAGGGGAUCGAAGACGAUCAGAUACCGUCGUAG
rnacentral:rRNA from 1 species